rnacentral:tmRNA from 1 species
GGGGCUGAUUUUGGAAUAGACAGCAAGAUUAUUUAUGAGGGGAAGCAUACCGUGUUGCGUAAUGCCUUACACGUAAAUAAAGCGUUACAUACAUAAUAAAUGGCGAAAAACAAUACGCUUUUGCUGCUUGAAUGAUGAAUCAUUAAGCUUAAUCUGAUACACAUACAGAAGCAAAAUAUCUCUCAGGAAUUCUUCCUUAUAGUUCCUGAAGUCGAGGUAAUCAGAAUAUAAGGAUAAGAAAACGGAUGAUUCUAAAGUUUUCUGAUUCAAUAUUUUUGAAUCUAAGAUUUUGAUCGUAAUCCAAUAGUUCGAUUUUAAUCUGAAAAACUUUACUUUGGAUAAGUAUGUAGAAAUCCUUCGUAGAACUUGUUUGGACGCGGGUUCGAAUCCCGCCAGCUCCACUU